rnacentral:rRNA from 1 species
GAUGAACGCUAGCUACAGGCUUAACACAUGCAAGUCGAGGGGCAGCAUGAAGUCAGCUUGCUGACUUUGAUGGCGACCGGCGCACGGGUGAGUAACGCGUAUCCAACCUUCCCUUACUCAGGAAUAGCCCGUUGAAAGACGGAUUAAUGCCUGAUGUUCUCUAUUUCCGGCAUCGGUAAUAGAGCAAAGAUUCAUCGGUAAGGGACGGGGAUGCGUAUGAUUAGCUUGUUGGCGGGGUAACGGCCCACCAAGGCAACGAUCAUUAGGGGUUCUGAGAGGAAGGUCCCCCACACUGGAACUGAGACACGGUCCAGACUCCUACGGGAGGCAGCAGUGAGGAAUAUUGGUCAAUGGAGGCAACUCUGAACCAGCCAAGUAGCGUGAGGGAUGACUGCCCUACGGGUUGUAAACCUCUUUGUCGGGAUAAACCGCGCCACGUGUGGCGCCCUGCAUGUACCCGCAGAAUAAGGACCGGCUAAUUCCGUGCC